GAUGAACGCUGGCGGCGUGCCUAAUACAUGCAAGUCGAGCGAACAGACGAGGAGCUUGCUCCUCUGACGUUAGCGGCGGACGGGUGAGUAACACGUGGAUAACCUACCUAUAAGACUGGGAUAACUUCGGGAAACCGGAGCUAAUACCGGAUAAUAUAUUGAACCGCAUGGUUCAAUAGUGAAAGACGGUUUUGCUUUCACUUAUAGAUGGAUCCGCGCCGCAUUAGCUAGUUGGUAAGGUAACGGCUUACGAAGGCAACGAUGCGUAGCCGACCUGAGAGGGUGAUCGGCCACACUGGAACUGAGACACGGUCCAGACUCCUACGGGAGGCAGCAGUAGGGAAUCUUCCGCAAUGGGCGAAAGCCUGACGGAGCAACGCCGCGUGAGUGAUGAAGGUCUUCGGAUCGUAAAACUCUGUUAUUAGGGAAGAACAAAUGUGUAAGUAACUAUGCACGUCUUGACGGUACCUAAUCAGAAAGCCACGGCUAACUACGUG
rnacentral:rRNA from 1 species